rnacentral:rRNA from 1 species
GUGAACGUUACCAAACUGUUGCCUCGGCGGGAUCUCUGCCCCGGGUGCGUCGCAGCCCCGGACCAAGGCGCCCGCCGGAGGACCAACCAAAACUCUUAUUGUAUACCCCCUCGCGGGUUUUUUACUAUCUGAGCCAUCUCGGCGCCCCUCGUGGGCGUUUCGAAAAUGAAUCAAAACUUUCAACAACGGAUCUCUUGGUUCUGGCAUCGAUGAAGAACGCAGCGAAAUGCGAUAAGUAAUGUGAAUUGCAGAAUUCAGUGAAUCAUCGAAUCUUUGAACGCACAUUGCGCCCGCCAGUAUUCUGGCGGGCAUGCCUGUCCGAGCGUCAUUUCAACCCUCGAACCCCUCCGGGGGGUCGGCGUUGGGGAUCGGCCCUUUACGGGGCCGGCCCCGAAAUACAGUGGCGGUCUCGCCGCAGCCUCUCCUGCGCAGUAGUUUGCACACUCGCAUCGGGAGCGCGGCGCGUCCACAGCCGUUAAACACCCCAAACUUCUGAAAUGUUGACCUCGGAUCAGGUAGGAAUACCCGCUGAACUUAAGCAUAUCAAUAAGCGGA